rnacentral:misc_RNA from 1 species
AACGCACCUUGCACUCUUUGGUAUUCCGAAGAGUAUGUCUGUUUGAGUGUCAUGAACUCUUCAACCCCCCAGUUUCUUGUUAAACUGUGUUUGGGUGUUUGGUUUCUGAGCGUUGCUGGUACCUGCAAAGGCACGAAGCUCGUUCGUAAUACAUGAGCAUGUCUACAUUCGAAUUCGGAUUGACUCAGUGUAAUAGACUAUUUCGCUGAGGAUUGCAGACUUUAUUGUCUUGCAGGCCGAACUUUGAAUACAUUAUUUGGACGGCUUCUAAUAAAGACACACAAUCUUUUUUGUAGUCAAAUCUUUAGAUUAGACCUCAAAUCAGGCAGGAUUACCCGCUGAACUUAA